rnacentral:rRNA from 1 species
GACGAACGCUGGCGGCGUGCUUAACACAUGCAAGUCGAACGAUGAAGCCGGAGCUUGCUCCGGUGGAUUAGUGGCGAACGGGUGAGUAACACGUGAGCAAUCUGCCCUUGACUCUGGGAUAACUGCGGGAAACUGUAGCUAAUACCGGAUACGACACCUUGGGGCAUCCCAGGGUGUGGAAAGAAUUUCGGUCAAGGAUGAGCUCGCGGCCUACCAGCUAGUUGGUGAGGUAAUGGCUCACCAAGGCGACGACGGGUAGCCGGCCUGAGAGGGUGACCGGCCACACUGGAACUGAGACACGGUCCAGACUCCGACGGGAGGCAGCAGUGGGGAAUAUUGCACAAUGGGCGAAAGCCUGAUGCAGCAACGCCGCGUGAGGGAUGAAGGCCUUCGGGUUGUAAACCUCUUUUAGCAGGGAAGAAGCGAAAGUGACGGUACCUGCAGAAAAAGCACCGGCUAACUACGUGCCAGCAGCCGCGGUAA